rnacentral:rRNA from 1 species
CCUACGGGAGGCAGCAGUGGGGAAUAUUGCACAAUGGGGGGAACCCUGAUGCAGCGACGCCGCGUGAGCGAUGAAGUAUUUCGGUAUGUAAAGCUCUAUCAGCAGGGAAGAAAAUGACGGUACCUGACUAAGAAGCCCCGGCUAACUACGUGCCAGCAGCCGCGGUAAUACGUAGGGGGCAAGCGUUAUCCGGAUUUACUGGGUGUAAAGGGAGCGUAGACGGCUGUGCAAGUCUGGAGUGAAAGGCAUGGGCUCAACCUGUGGACUGCUGUGGAAACUGUGCGGCUGGAGUGUCGGAGAGGCAAGUGGAAUUCCUAGUGUAGCGGUGAAAUGCGUAGAUAUCAGGAGGAACACCGGUGGCGAAGGCGGCCUGCUGGACUGCAACUGACGUUGAGGCCCGAAAGCGUGGGGAGCAAACAGGAUUAGAUACCCGGGUAGUC